AAUAUCUUUUUAUGGGUGGGACCCACUUUAAGUCAAAAUAGUCAAAUGAUUCUUUCUUCCCUUUUUUUUUUCUUUCUCUUUCCCCGACUUCUCUCUCUCUUCCCUUUCUCUUAUCUUCUUUCUCUAUUCUCUAAACGGCAACACGCCACCACCACAAAGACUCAACCUCCGGCAACCACUAUUUUUGACAUGCAGUGACUCAUUGAUUUGUCUUGCUCCAACGACCUCAACCACCAAGCGGCGCUGCCAAACUCGUCGUCUGUUCGGAAUAGUCAGUCAAAGUUUUGGUCCGUCAACUUUGAUUGUGUUUUCAGGCCAUCUCCGACCACCUCUCGACGAAUGGUUAGUACCUUUGAAAACAGCGUGAAGAGAGGAACAAAACCCACUUAGUCAUUCCGGUCAACUCGUCAUUUUUCUCUGGCGAGAUUUUGGGUAUCUUCUCCACUUUCCGGCGACGUUCCGACUAGUCUGAGCACCUUUUGGAUCGAUGGUUCGCAUGAAUGUGAUCUACUCGCUGAUGUGGUCAUUUUGUUAUAUGUCACACCUACCUUCGUCGAUGUUUCUGAUACACCGCUCACUGUCGCCACCAACCGCUACUGUGCACCGCUUGGGAAAAGUGUGAUAUUAAAAUUGGACUAAAUCAUUAUAGGAUCAUCGUUAAGCUCAGCAGCGUCGGUUUUAGCUUGGAUUGAAAAUUCUAAGGAGAAAACAAACAUCCAUAGUGAGCGCAUUUGCAUGGAUCGCAAGUUGUUCCAAGCUGCAACUGAUGGUGAACUUGAAGUCUUCAGGGAAAAGGUUAGUGAACUCCAACUGUUAUUGACCCCAGAAAGAAAUACAGUGCUCCAUGUCCAUAUCAUCACUACUUCAAGAACACUAAUCAAACAACCUUCGUGGAAGGGAUCCUAGACUUGUGUCCAGCACUGUUGAUGCAAACUAAUGCAAGAGAAGAGACUCCCAUACUCAUGGCAGCAAGGUACGACCAUCACCGCAUUGUUGAUUUUCUAAUUGAACAUGCAAAAUCAUCCCAACCACAAGACCUUGAAGAGGACAUCUCUGGUGUCCAAACGAUGAUAAGGAUGAAGAAUGAGGAAGAGGACACUGCGUUGCACGAGGCUGUGCGGUUCGGUCAUCUUGAGGUUGUGCAGAUAUUGACGAGAGAAGACCCUAAUUUCUCGUAUUCAGCUAAUAAAGCAGGCGAGACUCCACUCUACAUAGUCGUCCAGUGCCGACACCAAGAUUUGGUUAAUGUAAUACUAAAUAAUUGUUUUUCACCAGCUACCGGUGGUCUUAAUGGCAGAACUGCACUACA